UCUGGAUAUCUUUUCCGUCAUCUAGUUUAUAUAGCCCCGCUUUAGGGCCAAAAAUUGGGCCAACGAAAAUUAUUCAGUUUUACAUAACUAACCUUUGGAGCUGAACCUCCAGCUUUCAUUUGCAAUUAGUGUGUUAUUCAAUUGAUUAGUUUAUCUCUCAGCCUUCGAUGAAUCAAGUUGAUUAAUUAAUUGAUUGUCUGGUAAGCAGGUUAGAGGACUCGUACUCUGAAUUCUAGAAUAAAGCAGAGCCAGAUCACAGAGACAAAACGAG
rnacentral:misc_RNA from 1 species